rfam:Ectothiorhodospira sp. PHS-1 contig058, whole genome shotgun sequence.
CUGUCUGAGGAGCGCUGCAACGGAUCACCGAAUCCGCCAGGCUCAGACACCUCCUAAAACGGCGCUCGCUGUAC